GCCGACGUAGCUCAAAUGGUAGAGCGGCCGCCUUGUAAGCGGCAGGUAAUGGGUUCGAUCCCCAUCGUCGGCU
rnacentral:tRNA from 1 species